rnacentral:rRNA from 1 species
AGUGAACGCUGGCGGUAGGCCUAACACAUGCAAGUCGAACGGCAGCACAGUAAGAGCUUGCUCUUACGGGUGGCGAGUGGCGGACGGGUGAGGAAUACAUCGGAAUCUACUUUUUCGUGGGGGAUAACGUAGGGAAACUUACGCUAAUACCGCAUACGACCUACGGGUGAAAGCAGGGGAUCUUCGGACCUUGCGCGAUUGAAUGAGCCGAUGUCGGAUUAGCUAGUUGGCGGGGUAAAGGCCCACCAAGGCGACGAUCCGUAGCUGGUCUGAGAGGAUGCUCAGCCACACUGGAACUGGGACACGGUCCAGACUCCUACGGGAGGCAGCAGUGGGGAAUAUUGGCCAAUGGGCGCAAGCCUGAUCCAGCCAUACCGCGUGGGUGAAGAAGGCCUUCGGGUUGUAAAGCCCUUUUGUUGGGAAAGAAAAGCAGCAGGUUAAUACCCCGCUGUUCUGACGGUACCCAAAGAAUAAGCACCGGCUAACUUCGUGC